CUGGGAUUACAGGCGUGAGCCACUGCACCCGGCCCCACAGGACUCUGUUUUACAACUUCUUUCUAUCUUCUCCAUCUUAAAUUUAUUUGCAGAAGUCAGGAGAUACGCACACACACACACACGCACAUACACACACACACGCACAUACACACAUACAUGCCCAUGCACUUGCGUAAGCACCCAUAAACAUGUAAAUAUUAUGUAAUUGAUUAGUUGUAAUUUCCCUGAGACUUUUGUUAAAUGAUUUGAAAAAAUGCAAGAAAAGGUAUCUUUUAUUUAACAGUGUUGCAUGUUUUGUUAUACUGUAAUUAUGUGAAAAUUAGCACUCUUGGUAACUGUUAAUCAGAAUAGAUAGGUGAUUAUAUAAUUCUCUCCUGUUACUAUUCUGAAUAAACAAGAGUCUACUAAAAACAAGUGUUACAUGAAUUCCUUUAAAGGGCAGUAUGCGUGCUUGGCUACUAAUUAGAUAUGGGAAGUGAUCAAGAGGACUAAGGCUGGAUCACUCAGUUUCCUCUUGGGUAAGCUCCUAGACGGUGGCCAUCGACAUUGUAAAUCUAGGGGCAAGCACAGAGUUUGAGGGGCACGGUGAUGACUUAUGUUUUAAAUAUGUUAAGUUUGAGGUUCUUGAGAGACAUUGCAGUGGAGAGGUCUAACAAGAGUUAGAUGUGUGUCUGAAAUUCAGGAGGACAGCUGGGUUGGGUUGCAGACAUAGACUUGGGAAUCCUUAGUAUGUAGGUGGUCGCUGCAGUCCUAAGAGUAGAUAAGAUUAACAAGAAACUGUGUCUUAGCAUCUCCAGCUAUUCUCAGGUUUCUGUUCUGUCCCUCUCCUUGAAUGAUAUUUUCAUACAAGUCAAUAUAUGUUAUUAAGUCAAGUCAUUUGUUCAGCCAAUUAACAGAUAUUAACUUAUAUGAAAAUAUACACAGACAGAAUAUACCCCAAGUUAAUAUAUCAUCAAAAAAUAAAUGUUAUUAUUUAUAUUUAAGGUACAGCAUGAUGUAGUGUAUAUAUAUAUAUAUAUAUAAUGGAAUAUUAAUAUAUCUUAAUUUUAGAUUGAACAAAUAAGAAUUAGGAAAGUAUGUCUUUUAAAUCUAUUUUUUUCCAGCCAUAGAAUGCAUUGUAAAGCUUACAAAACAUUCUCUUUGGAUUUUUCCAUGCUUUAUUCCUGAGUCUUUUAUGUCUAUGAAUUCCAAUGAGAGGUGCUUGGUUCCAAAACAAAUGUAAAUAGGUUUAGUUUUCAUUCCGUUUCUUUAUGAGCAUUGAUCAUUGAGAAUUUACAGUGCUCAUGUCAAUGAAACAGGCAGAUGCCUGCCCCAAAGUGGACAGAACUACAAAUCUGGCAAAGCUAAGGAAGGAGGAGGGUGAAGGUCAUACGAGAGUUAGUGGAUUAAUAAUAUGAAUGAUUAUGAUUUAUUAUAUUUCUGUAAUUUUCAUUAUUACAGAGGAGAAGUGUGUCCUGUACUCAGACAUGCUCCAGUCCAGCUGCUUCGCUUUCUGCUCAGAUUUGUUGGUCUGGGAUUUCUUAAAGCACUGGUGAUGAGAGAGAAUUUAGGAGGUACAGACAUGCUAUGGCAUAAUUUUGGAUUCUUUAAUGAGGAAGGGAUUCCUGCUUCAGUUCUCUAGUAAUCCUGCCUAUUUAAUGAAUGGGAAAGCUCAGUUCAGUGCUAGUGAGUCUUUAACAACUGUCUACUGUCUACCAUUAACUUCAGAGAGACAGACAGACAGAGAGAGAGGUGGGUGACAUACCUACUCAUACUAAUGUUCCAUGUAGAGGACUGACACAAAAUUUAUUUUCCUUUUUAUGAAAAGGUACUUAAGUUAAAAAAAAUGAGUUGACUUAAAGAAAAACGUUAAAUGAUACUACUCUAGGUGGUAUGUGGAUAUGGCUUCUAGUUGCUGUCCCUAACCUUUCAUCUUCCCUCUAUGUCACCUGUGAAGCCCCGACAUUUAGUUAUUCCUAAGCAUAGCUUCCUUGAUCAACAUUCUACAGUGGUCCUCUCCUGAAUGGAGUCUUGCUAGCAGACCAUCCUUUCUUUUCAUAGUCCACCUUAUUACGGACUACAUCCUGUCUCCCUCAAUUUUGGAUGUUUUAGGCUCCUGGGCUCUGUACCUUUGCUCCUUCUUCUCUUCUUCCCUUCCCCAACCUGCUCACGGCAGGAGUUUGAUUCCAAGUCCCACCCACACAUCAAAGCCCUGCUGUAGUGCCUUAGUUACUGACUGCAACUGUACCAACCGUCACAUCUUUCUUGCUUUUAUGAAUUUCUGUUGCAUCUUUGAUCAGUUAUCACAGUUCGGCACUUAAUUGCACUCCCAUUGUUUCAGGUACUUGUCUGUAUCUUAGCAAAUUAUUUUCCGUAUCCUAGCAAAUGUCUUGCUAGCAGGGAUGGUCAUUUAUUCUUGUCUACGGAUACUGUGCAUAGAACAGUGUUGGACAGUUGAUUAUCAGAAAUACAUGUUUAAGCGGUUUAACCAAAUAAACUGUGUUUUCUAAAUAAACUGUAAUAACCAAAUGUGUAACCAAAUAAACUGUAUUUUCCAAAAGCUGGUAUGCACCUAGAAGUGUCCCAAGAUGCAUGAGUUUGUUUUUUUAGCACAGUGGUUUUUAAACAUGGCCACAGAUUCUUGAUCCCCAUCCCUUGAAACUGGCUGGCCCUAUGACUGCUUUGACCAAUGUACUAUGACAAAAGCUACACUAUGUGACAUCCAAGGCUUGAUCAUAAAAGACUGUGCGGCAUCUGAACCAUUAUUCUUGGAGUUCUGAGCCACACUAUAAGUAUGACGACCCUGUGUCCGCCAGGCUGCAAGGAAGUCCAAGCUAUAUUGAGAGGCCCCAGAAUUAUGAUCAACAACUCAGGAAAAUACUCAACUUGAAAGAGAUUAGUGAAUGUGGACUCGAAAGGUCUAAGACAGAGAAAGAAGUUGCUGUAGAACACUUUUGCAAAACAGUGGUCUCCAAAGAGCCAUGAAACAGCUUGCUGAUUUUUGAAUUUCUGGGUUUAUUACAAAUGACUACAUAAAAGCCGUGUGGUAAGAAACGAACUUCUGGUAACAGAUGGUGGAAAAUCACCAGUAAGACCCAAACCUAACAGAGACUGCUUCUGGAGCCAUGGUUCUCACUAAGGGUUAUUAGCAUCAUUCUUUGAUGAUGGGCAUUGAGGCAUCAGAACUCAUGGAUAUCACAGUUCCUGUGUGGAGAGGAAGCUUCAGAUGGUGCUCUUGCACAGACGGGACUGCCAUUCCCAUUUUAGUGGAUCUCUUAAAAGUUCGAAUGGCUCCUCUAAUGCCUGAUGUGAAUGGAACCUUUCUCUCUGCUUCAGUCAAGAAUCUGGUGACAAAGAAGCUUCAUCCUUUCAAUCUUACAAUUUCAAUCUCCUAUCUCAAGAAAGCUCAUUUCUAUGUAUUACCAGUGCAUCCUCCACAUGCUCUUCUGCAGUUGUUCCUUCUGCGGGAAAUGAUCUCUCCUUUUGUCGAGGCUUGGUGAAAUCCUUUGAAAUUCUGUUGAUUCUGUAAGAGCCAACACAAAUACCAACUGCCCUGAAUACUUUCUGGCUAAACUGCCACAAUGAACGAGGAUUCCUCACCCAUGUCCCUCCCUUUCCCUUCCUUUCUUUUUAUAAUGGUAUGCUUAUUGUUUUUUAAUGUAACAUUUUUCUUACAAAAGGAAUACACAUUCAGUGUUAAAAUGGAAAUGUAGAAAAGUCUUCAGAAGAAAAUAAAAAUCACCUGCAAAUCCA
rnacentral:lncRNA from 1 species